AUGGUCGAUACAGCAUCUCCCUGUGAGUGGAAAAGCAUCAAGAGAAAUCCUUCUUAUUUGCAAAGAAAAGCAGUUGUUUUAGAAAUAAAAUAUGUGCAAUAUCCCAGAAACACCUUUCAAAUUUAUUAUUUUCUUUUUAAAACAAUAUUGGCUUUAAAGGGGUUCACUCUUUAAAAAUGUGCAAUUCAGCAAUUUUUAGUAUAUUCACAAAGAAUAUUAAUUACUACUAUCUAAUUUCAGAAUAUUUUCAUUAUCCCUCCCCCCAAAUUCCCAUGGAUAUUAAGCCGUCACGUCUUAUUCUCCCCUUUUCCUAGUCCCUGAAAACCACAAAUUUAAUUUUUGUCUCUAGAGAUUUACCUAUUUUGGGUAUUUCUUAUGAAUGGAAUCAGACAAUACAUGGCAUUUUGUGUCUGGCUUUGUCCAGUCUCCAUGAUGUUUUCAGUGUUCACCUAUUUCGUAUCAUGUACCAAUACUUGAUUCCUUUCUAUGGCCAAAUAACACACCAUUGUGUGGAUGCAGCACAUUUUGUGCAUCCGUCCAUCAGUUGAUAGACAUCUGGGUUGUCUCUACUUUCGGCUUUUAUGAAUCAUGCUGCAAUCCACAUCCAUGUUCAAGUAUUUGUAAGAGUCCCUGUUUUCAGAUCUUUGGGGUAAUAUAUCUAGCAGUGGGAUUGCUAGUCUUAAGAGAAUUCUAUGUUUAACCUGUGAGGAAUCACCCAACUGCUUUUCACAGUGGGUGUACCAUUUUACGUACCUAUUAGCAGUAUUUGAGAGUUCCAAUUUCUCCAUAUCCUCAAUGACACUUAUUUUCCAUUUUUUUAAAAAAAUUAUAGCCACACUAGUAAGUAUAAAGUGGCAGAUGCAUUUAUCUUCAAAUAUAUUUGAAAAUAUAACCACCCUAUCAGACUCAUGGUAUUGUUGGUUUUCCAUUCAGGGCACUGAUAAGAUUUCCUAAAUAUACUUUCGUUUAAGUAGAAAAAAGUGAAUAGUUUAAUGACAAUAAGUAGAUAAAUAAUGUAUGGACGAGAUGGGGAUAUGGCAAAAUCUGUGGAGAUGUGAGCCAGGGGAAAGUUACUAAAUUUCUUUGAGCCUCAGUUUCAUUAUCUGUAAUAAAAGAGGGCCCUGGACUGCUAAGUGGAUCA
rnacentral:lncRNA from 1 species